rnacentral:rRNA from 1 species
AAAUUGAAGAGUUUGAUCAUGGCUCAGAUUGAACGCUGGCGGCAGGCCUAACACAUGCAAGUCGAGCGGUAGCACAGAGAGCUUGCUCUCGGGUGACGAGCGGCGGACGGGUGAGUAAUGUCUGGGAAACUGCCUGAUGGAGGGGGAUAACUACUGGAAACGGUAGCUAAUACCGCAUAACGUCGCAAGACCAAAGUGGGGGACCUUCGGGCCUCAUGCCAUCAGAUGUGCCCAGAUGGGAUUAGCUAGUAGGUGGGGUAAUGGCUCACCUAGGCGACGAUCCCUAGCUGGUCUGAGAGGAUGACCAGCCACACUGGAACUGAGACACGGUCCAGACUCCUACGGGAGGCAGCAGUGGGGAAUAUUGCACAAUGGGCGCAAGCCUGAUGCAGCCAUGCCGCGUGUGUGAAGAAGGCCUUCGGGUUGUAAAGCACUUUCAGCGGGGAGGAAGGCGAUAAGGU